rnacentral:sRNA from 1 species
AGAUCGGGCCUUUCAGGCAUCCUCUCCUAAAACUUUCAGGGCUGGUCCUCACGGAUCGGCCCUUUUUUUCGGUUGCG